rnacentral:piRNA from 1 species
UGGAGCUGCAUACAUGUUCUACUCUGAACAAC